UAGUGGCGGACGGGUGAGUAACACGUGGGCAACCUGCCCUACAGCCUGGGAUACCAUCGGGAAACUGAUGUUAAUACCGGAUACGCUCUUUUGAUCGCAUGAUCUAAGGAGGAAAGAUUUAUCGCUGUAGGAUGGGCCCGCGGUCCAUUAGCUAGUUGGUAGGGUAACGGCCUACCAAGGCGACGAUGGAUAGCUGGUCUGAGAGGACGAUCAGCCACACUGGGACUGAGACACGGCCCAGACUCCUACGGGAGGCAGCAGUGGGGAAUAUUGCGCAAUGGGGGCAACCCUGACGCAGCAAUGCCGCGUGAAGGAUGAAGGCUUUCGGGUCGUAAACUUCUGUCUAGAGGGAUGAAUUUUGACAGUACCUCUGGAGGAAGCCCCGGCUAACUACGUGCCAGCAGCCGCGGUAAUACGUAGGGGGCAAGCGUUGUCCGGAAUCACUGGGCGUAAAGCGCGCGUAGGUGGUCUAGUAAGUCAGAUGUUAAAAUGCGGGGCUCAACCCCGUAAUGCAUUUGAAACUGCUGGACUUGAGGACAGGAGAGGAAAGUGGAAUUCCUAGUGUAGCGGUGAAAUGCGUAGAUAUUAGGAGGAAC
rnacentral:rRNA from 1 species